GAAACAGCAAAAGAUUCAACUGCUAAAGUUUAUCCAUUUUAAGGUGCAACCAAAGCAGGUUUCAACUGACUUACCACAUUGUCCAUCAGAUGAAAAAAUCUCGAAACGGGUAUCUGAGUUCAACAUCCUGCAUAUGUUAGAAGAGAAGGCAAGCACACGCAUGAAGAACCAGUUGAUGAGUCUAGAAUCAGAAACUUACCUUCAGAUGGAUUGGUCAGACCGCAUUCCAAUCCCGA